GACGGAAGGUGCAAGCGUUGCUCGGAAUCACUGGGCGUAAAGGGCUCGUAGGCGGCCAACUAAGUCAUACGUGAAAUCCCUCAGCUUAACUGGGGAACUGCGUGUGAUACUGGAUGGCUUGGAUUUGGGAGAGGGAUGCGGAAUUCCAGGUGUAGCGGUGAAAUGCGUAGAUAUCUGGAGGAACACCGGUGGCGAAGGCAGCUUGCUGGGACGGUACUGACGCUGAGACGCGAAAGCGUGGGGAGCAAACAGG
rnacentral:rRNA from 1 species